rnacentral:rRNA from 1 species
UACGGAGGGUGCGAGCGUUGUCCGGAAUUACUGGGCGUAAAGCGCGUGUAGGCGGCAGUGCAAGUCGGCUGUGAAAUCCCGUGGCUCAACCACGGAAGUGCACCCGAAACUGCCCAGCUAGAGUCUCGGAGAGGAAGGUGGAAUGCUUGGUGUAGAGGUGAAAUUCGUAGAUAUCAAGCGGAACACCGGUGGCGAAGGCGGCCUUCUGGACGAUGACUGACGCUGAGACGCGAAAGCGUGGGGAGCAAACAGG